rnacentral:rRNA from 1 species
CAGCAGUGAAGAAUCUUCCGCAGCUCCUUUAAACCUGACGGAGCGACGCCGCGUGGGUGAUGAAGGCCCUUGGGUUGUAAAGUCCUUUUCUUGGGGAAGAAUUUUUUACGAGGCAUUGCCUAGCUGACGACGUUAACCACGGGAUAACCCCCGGCUUAUUACGUG